rfam:Paramecium bursaria Chlorella virus NY2A Chlorella virus NY2A ctg_13 genomic sequence.
CUCAUCAUGGCGCAGUGGUAGCGCGACGGACUGUAAAUGAAAAACAUAUAUCCGUCGGUCCCUAGUUCGAAUCUAGGUGAUGAGA